GAAAACCUAGAGGCUUUCCUUGGGUUGAAACAUCUUUGAAAUACUUUAAACAACAAACAUUACCUGAGAGGGUUCUUCAUUAACUCAGUAGCAUCCUUUGAUUCAUUUAUUGAUUCAUUCAUUAAACAUUUAUUAAGCUUGUACUGUGCACUUGGCAGUGAAAAUAGAAAUGAAGGCUACACUCACCUCUUUCAGUCAGCACCCAGUCUAGCUGGAAACAUGGAGGGGUUAAAAACAUGUCUUGGGGAAAAAGGCUGUGGAGAAGAGAUUCAAGUGUCAUGAGGACCCGGAGGUGGAGUGCCUACACCUGUAAGGAGUUAAGAAUGUCAUAUCGUUGGAACCAUACAGGAUGGAGCUUUUUCUGACUAAAUUCCUUCACUGAGCAAUAUACACUUCAGUUUCCUCCAUGUCUCUUCAUGGUGGAGAGCAGUAUUUACACUGAUUUCAAGGUAUGGAGAUUCUUGCAACAAAUGUGUAAUGCAGAUCUGGACUCCAGACUCAUUAGAAAUAAAAGGCUCAGGUAUUCAUUUUGGG